UGUCUGCGAGUUGCUUUCCAAAUAUACAACUUCUUCUGAUAGUGAUGCAGCUUGAAAAUUAUAGCGCGUGGAUACCUGGUAUCAUCUCUCUUAGCCCCAACACGGUGCACCCUUUCAAAGUCCUCUUCUUUAAGCUCAAGCUUCCACUUUUCCGCAAAGAUUUUAACCAAGAAAGCGGACAUGGGCAAAUCCUUUUCGCUACCUUCCAAAACAUUCACCAAACGUAAAUUGUUCUGGCGAUGCCUAUUUUCCAAUUGAUCAAUAUGAUCCAAAGCAUCUUGUAGCUUCUUUUCAAGCGCACCUGUACGGCUCACCUGCUCCUCCACCAAAACACCAUAAUCAUGAACCUCGGCCAUCGCGCUUUCAAAUCGGUUUUCCAAUGCCUCAAUCCUCUUCACCGCGGAAUCAAGCAGUGUGUUAGUGGAGGUAUUAACUUGCAAUAGUUUGUUGAGUUUAGACUCUAGACCAUCAAACCUGGCGUUGUAAUCGAAGCCAAUUGCUUCUGCUGCUUCUCCCACGUCUGCCAUUCUUUGUCGUUGUUGCCUCGUUUGCGGUCUCCCUUUCGACAUAGGAUCGCUCUUCCUGACUUUUUCCUUUUCUUUCCUUUUCGUCUGGGUUUACUUAAUAUUAAACGUAAGCUUUAAUAGUUGAGGGACUUAAAAAACCACAUGUUUUAAGCCAAAGUUUCUCACGCCACGAGGAGCUCUAGCCCUUACGACCUCUCACGCCGCGCAUGCUCAGUAAAACAAAAAAACCCGAUUCAACUAGAAUCCAUUACACCUUCCAGGACAGCCAGAAACCUGAGUGGUAAUUGAUGAUCAGCUUAGCUUAAUGGAUCAUGUUACCAACACCGCCGGGUCCUGUAUAUUUAUCCUAUACAACCUAAGGAAAAUUAGACCUUUCCUAUCGGAGCAUGAUACACUCUUGUCCUGUCCAGACUGGACUAUUGCAAUGCACUACUUGCCAGACUCCCGGCCUGCACAACUAAACCUCUACAGAUGAUCCAAAAUGCAGCGGCAAGAGUGGUCUUCAAUGAGCCAAAGAGAGUGCACAUCACUCCUCUCUUUGUCAAGUUACAUUGAAUUUGAUACGAACGACUAUAGGAUGCCAAAGCUCUGCUCCUGGUCUGGGUCCACCACGGAGUCAGCACCCUCUCACUUUCACUCGCUUAUACAGACUUAUGUACCCUCUAGAUCCCUGCGCUCUGCCAACGAGCAACGUCUUGUGGUGCCAUCCCAAAAAAAGGAAAAAAUAAAUAAAUCGCAAUCAUGCGACAAGAUCUGCUGAUUUUGUAGGCAUCUUUAAGAAUCAGCUAAAAACCCAUCUCUUUGGCAACACCUGGCUCACUAAUACAUCUCAAUAAUCUGUUUUCUAUCCUUUUCUUUUCUGCUCUUAAAAAAAAACACAAUCAACUUUAGCUUCAUAUACUGUGUUAGGCUUGAUGUAGUAUCAGCCUCAGACGUCACGCCCACAAACUGUUGGCUGAACGUCUGAUGUUUUUCGUACACUUUUCUGGAAACCCUGUGAGAAUGUCUAAAGUCGUCUUUUGAUUGGUUGAAAUAAACCAGAUUUCCAGGAGACGCGAGUGUGGCGAUUCAUUUCGGUCCCUGGAAAACAAAGCUCUGACGUUCCAUUGAGGAAGAGAAUCAGUCGUGUUCACGUGGAUAAUAAUGACCAGGGGCCCGUUCUUCGUACGUCGCUUAUUACAUCCGAGAUCAAAUGACACAUCCGAGAUGACAUCAUCGUUCUAAUCAUGAACCGGCUAAUUGGGUUCUUCGAACACACCUGUUGUGUAUGAUUAGUAUCGCUGGAUUGAGUUAUGUGAGAUAAUUGCGCGUUCAUGUGUUGGUUUAAAAGGGGAUAUGUAUCGAUAGCAGAAACAUUAAUCAGCAACGCUGCUAUUGGCUGUUCAGCAUGGCCAAAGAACGUGCCCAAUUUUUCUCCAAAGCAGAACAAGAGCUUAUAAUUGAAGGUUAUGCCGAAUUUCAGUCGUUAAUUAAAACGACAGGGAACACCUCAAACUCUGCAAAAGCCAGGAGACAGGGCUGGCAAAAAGUAGCAGACAAAUUAAAUGCGUAAGUGCUGUCCAUAGAUGUUUCUACCAUUUUCUACAGUAUGUGUUUUGCCAUUUUAAUAAUUUAAUAUUUACUUUCUUUAAUCUCAGAGCCACCACUGGACCCACUAGAACAUGGGAACAAGUAAAAGUGAAAUACAAGAAUAUUCUACAAAAUGCCACCAAGAAAAAGGCUGAAAAAAAAAACAGGUGGUGGUCCUGCACCACCACAAUAUACCCCAGCAGAGGAGCUGGCCCUUGGAUUGAAUGAAAACCGAACCAUUGUGGAGGGCAUCCCUGGGGGCAGCUCUUCCUCAGACCCAAAGACAGGGACCAGUAGCAGCAACACCUUCAUUACUGGUAGGCUAAAUGAGCUUUCAAUUGUCUUAGUACACUGUAAAAUUAUUUGUUGCUGCCAUAAAUGAAGUAUCAUCCAAAUGGCUGGUACAGUCAUUUCAACUCUUUGUGAAAGUGAAAACUUGUACACUUUUAGUUAAUACAAAAUAUGUUGCCAUGAGUUAUUGAUCACAUUAUAUUUUUUUACAGUGUAGUUAAUUGUAAUGACAAUUCACCCCGCCCACCCCCCUUUUUUUCAGUUUUACAUAAUACACCAACACUUUUACCUGUUCCCAUGCAAGUGGUAGCUGAAGCAUGUGCAGACAGUGAAGAAACCCUCUCAGAAGGCUGUCCUUUGGAGGAAGAACCUGUAAGUGCAUAAGCACCUUUACACUAAUUUGUAUAUAGCCUACUUGUGUACCUAUUCUUUCUGUGUGCAAUUUGAGUUGCAGGAGUGCACACCUAGAGAAAGGCCUAAAGAAAGCCUUGCAGAAGAGUCUGCACAAAGAACUAAUACAGAGGUGGACAGUUUUACUUUUUACUUUUGUUGCAUGAGGCAUGUUUUGACUCAUUUUGUAUUUAUUGUAUUUUUUAUUUCUUUUAAAAAAUGACAGGGUGACAUCCGUUCCCUCUAUAAACGGCAUCUUCAACAAAAAAUUGAGUAUUUUGAGUAAAAAAAAACGCAAAUUAAGAGGAGAAAUUGAACUUGACAACUUGAAUAAGACAAAAAUUGCUCUAGAGAUAGAGUUGCUUCAAAAGGACCUUCAGAGUAAGUGCUAAUACACCAUUUGACACAUAGUUAUGUAAAGUCACCAAUACUACUAUCUCUAAUUGCAGGCAAAAGAUGACGUGCUGGCUUUUCUUUAUAAAGAAUUCUUUAAAUAAAACUCUGAGA